AUAGCGUAUAUUAAAGUUGUUGCAGUUAAAAAGCUCGUAGUUGAAUUUCGGAGGAGAGUUCCCGGUCUAGGUUCGCCUUGUACUGGGAGGCUCGAAUCUUUUUUCUGGGGAAGCGGGGUGUCCUUAACUGGGCGCCUCGGGGAACCAGGACGAUUACCUUGAGAAAAAUAGAGUGUUCAAAGCAGGCUUUUGCUUGAAUACGUUAGCAUGGAAUAAUAAAAUAGGACUUUGGUUCUAUUUUGUUGGUUUUAAGGACCAAUGUCAUGAUGAAUAGGGACAGUUGGGGGCAUUCGUAUUCCGAAGCUAGAGGUGAAAUUCUUGGAUUUUCGGAAGACGAACUACUG
rnacentral:rRNA from 1 species